rnacentral:rRNA from 1 species
UACGGGGGGGGCAAGCGUUGUUCGGAAUUACUGGGCGUAAAGGGUGCGUAGGUGGCGCCGUAAGUCGGGUGUGAAAUUUCGGAGCUUAACUCCGAAACUGCAUUCGAUACUGCGGUGCUUGAGGACUGGAGAGGAGACUGGAAUUCAUGGUGUAGCAGUGAAAUGCGUAGAGAUCAUGAGGAAGACCAGUGGCGAAGGCGGGGCUCUGGACAGUUCCUGACACUGAGGCACGAAGGCCAGGGGAGCAAACGGG